rnacentral:lncRNA from 1 species
CACCCGACGUAAGACCCAUCAAAUGGCCCAUCAUGUUCUAGGUCCUAUGUAGCUUGCAGAACUACUAAGAUGGGUGGUGAUCAUUGAGUCCGACAUAGAGCCAGACAUUGCCAGACAUCCUUCCAACCAAAUAAAGCACUUUUGUUUGUUUAGGGUUUUAUGUGUGUUUUUUUCCUUUCAAAAGUAGGACUUAUUGUAGCCUAUAAAUAGGGGUAGUUAGGGCUUUUGUAAGACAAUAUAUUAGACUUUUCUCCAAAAUAAAUAUAUCGUUAGUUGGUGUUUA